rnacentral:rRNA from 1 species
AUUGAACGCUGGCGGCAUGCCUUACACAUGCAAGUCGAACGGCAGCGCGGACUUCGGUCUGGCGGCGAGUGGCGAACGGGUGAGUAAUACAUCGGAACGUACCCUGUUGUGGGGGAUAACUAGUCGAAAGAUUAGCUAAUACCGCAUACGACCUGAGGGUGAAAGUGGGGGACCGCAAGGCCUCACGCAGCAGGAGCGGCCGAUGUCUGAUUAGGGAGUUGGUGGGGUAAAGGCCCACCAAGGCGACGAUCAGUAGCUGGUCUGAGAGGACGAGCAGCCACACUGGGACUGAGACCCGGCCCAGACUCCUACGGGAGGCAGCAGUGGGGAAUUUUGGACAAUGGGGGCAACCCUGAUCCAGCAAUGCCGCGUGUGUGAAGAAGGCCUUCGGGUUGUAAAGCACUUUUGUCCGGAAAGAAAUCGCGCUGGUUAAUACCUGGCGUGGAUGACGGUACCGGAAGAAUAAGCACCGGCUAACUACGUGCCAGCAGCCGCCGUAA